rnacentral:lncRNA from 1 species
AAAAAAGACCUUUCAUUUCAUAUUUUAAUUGCUCGAAAAGCUACAUUCUCAGGACUAGCGCUUGAUGAUUACGAUUCACCUUUAGACGGUAAAGACUUCUCUUCUGGCCGACGUAGGCUGCUCUAACCUAAGUCAUGUGCACAUAGAAUAACACGACGUUUAUAAUGCAUCAGACGUUAAGGCUGAGCACUUCACAAGUGUUACCACAUUUGAGGAUUCUUGCAGCAAUCUUUAAAGCACUGGUCCUAUACCUCUUACAGGUGGGAAACUAACACUUCGGGAUGUUGACGAAAUGCACACGUAGCCUACAUGAGUAGUUUUAUUUUUUUUGGAGACAGGGUCUCGCUGUGUAGUUCAGGCUGGCCUUGAACUCGCGGUGAUCCUCCUGCCUCAGCCUCCCGAGUGCUGGGAUUACAGGCGUGGUGCACGCCAGCGGGAGCUAUUUAUUAUUUGAAGUUUUCCACGUUCAUUUUAUAUCCUCUGCCCGAUCUGAUUAAUUCCCUAAAAAACAAGACUGGAACCAAGGCUCUGGGACCAGGGACAGAAAACCAUGCAGAAAGAGGCUGGGAAAGGGAGGCCCCGCCAGCUGCCGUGCCACCUUAAGAAGCCUCGCCCUCCCCGCGCGGAGCAGGGGUGGCUCCUCCCACCCCCGUGUCAGCCGCGGCCCCGAACGUGGAGCUGGGAGGGGAGGCGCGCUGAAUGGAAAGACUGGGGCCGGCGCGGAGGGUCUCGGUAGCCGCGCGCUGCCGGCUGGGCGGCGGUGGGCGAAGCUCCAGCCUCGGGCCUGGGUCCUUCUGGGGGACUUAAGGGAUGGGGAUGAUGAGCUCCCCUGAAAUGUCUGUGGGGUGGAAUGUGAGCCCUGGGCCCAUCUGAGGCCUGGGCCCCAUCUUGGGGCGGGGUCGAGGUGGGGCAGAGCUGGCUGGCCCCGAGCGAUAUUCGGGAAGGGAUACAACGACAACCAGGAGAAAGUUGCAACUUCGCUGGUUCCGGAGGCACCUCUUCAAAUCCUGUCCAAACGAGGGGCAAGUUUUCCAUUCCCCGCCCCGAUGCCCCCACCUUCAUUUUAACUGGCUGUGCUUAGCGGUGGGCUGGGCCCAACCUUGCUCUCUGAUUGGUUGCUUAGGUCAUCCAUCACAGGGUUACGCAGGCGAGAGUGGCCAUUUGGGAGGAAGUGAAGAUUAUUUUGGUACCCCCUACCCCAGCUGAUGAUUGGCUAAGGAUGACAGUGACGUAAAACCGGACCGAAAGAUGGUCACUAAAGGGACAGGCCUAUUGGCCACGCUCAGGGACGAAGUCUAGGGUGGGACGGGGAGAGCCAGCCGGGCUGUGUUAUUGUCAGGAAGGACUACAUCGAUUGAAACCCGGAAAUGAGUGUAAUGGGAGCUGCAGGAAAACGGGGGAAAUCCGCGGCACCUUUGGAUCCCCUACGCCAGGUCAUUUCCUGAAAGGGAUCGGUGGUUUCCUGUUUACUCCGCCCAGGGCGCUCUGGCCCUCUGGAGCCGACUUAGAUUCUCGGGAACCUUUGGUCCUGACUUCCCGUUUCCAGUGCCAGCUAAGGUUGCACACUUUCACCCUGAGGAUGUGGUCCAGGAGCAGUUGAUGGGCUUCUCCUUAUGGAUCAUAAACAUGAACUCCAUGAUUGAAGUGAGGUCUGACACCUGGAAUAUUUUACCAAUGAAGCCCAGCUGGGAAGACUCUAGAAUCAUCCAUUCCUCAGAAGAAAGUUGAAGUGCAAGGUUUUUGACAGUAUUGAGAUAAUUCUUUUUGACAAUGAUAGCGUCUUCGAGCUGAAUGUAAAACACGCCCUUUUCCUGAUAAUCAGUAUCUGUCUCCUGUGAAGACUACUAUAACAGUCCUCCUUCUCUUCGGGGUACAAAUUAUCAAUAAGGGAAUGGAGGGUUUCUAUGAGAUCAGAAGUAAUCUCUCUCUUCCCUUGAGAAUUCCCAUUACUACUGAAACUCUGGUUCUCCCACUGCUGACCUGCACAGCAAGCUGAGACCUUCCUUCAUUUCGCAGUAAGUCAGGCAAAUGAUCAUAAAUACUUGCCACUUGAAGGAGACAUGUUUUGCUUGUUAACUCCAGUAGCUGUAGGGUUAUAUCUGAAAAUCUAUUCGAGGGCCGGGGAUUUAGCUCAGUGGUUCCUCUGCCUGCCUCGCAAGCGGAAGGACCUGAGUUCGAUCCCCGGUACCAAAAAAAAAAAAAAAAAAUCUAUUCGAUGCAUCCUUACUUCCAUUUGUUUCUGCACCUACACGCCAGAACUAUUGUACAACAAUACUUCACUCGGAAGAGAGCUGGGAGAUUCUGUGUCCAGCUAUUCCAAGGCAUUAUUUUAAAGCAAGGAAUUCUCAUUGAUAAGCAAUUAGUUCUUCUUUCCCAUUUUGCCACAUAGCAUUCCAUGAUAAAGUAAGGAACGAAGUGACAGAUGCUAAACCAAUGGCCUGCAUCACACUGGGUCAGAGGUUUGUGAUGACAACCGGGACUGUUUUCUCUUUACCCGGAAGUCAGCAGUAUCCAGUACUCCUGGCUCUCAACCAAUAAGCACAGUCAAUGAGAGGUUCCUUUCAGAUGCUUACAGACAUACCAUUCCCGGUCGCCCCUCAGGAUUGUCUUCGCAGCCUUCAAACACCCAUGUCUCCGGAUAUUUUCCUCCACUGAGCAGUAGAAAUCCCCACUGGCAACAAAAGAUCACAAGAGCUUAGUGAUUUUUAAUCAUUUUUAAUAAAAACGACGACCGCCAUGGCAUCUUGCUCCCCAUGGGCUGGGUCCAUUAUGUGGUUUAAACCUUCACCAAACCCUAUGAGGCCAGCAUUACUAAUAUCAUUUUACACACCCUCAACCUCCUGAGGGCUGGGAUUGCAGGUGUGUGCCACCAUACAAGGCCUUUUUUUUUCUCCUAGACAUAGUCUCACUCAGUUGCCCAGACUGGGCUUAAACUUGUGAUCCUUCUCUCUCAUCCUCCCACCGUGCCUGGACUACAGGACUACUGGUGUGCAUGAGCACACCAGCCUCACUGAAAUUACUGAGCCUCUUCUGUGUGCCAGCCUUCGAGUGAGAUACUUCACAGCCUCAGUCCCUGCCAGGGAACACCCCAGGGCCCCAGCCUACUGUGGAUUUAUCACAAAGGUCCAGCUCCAGGGAAACUGAGACAGUUGUGGCCCUGCCCUAUCCACAGGAGUCUCAAGAGGCUGUGAAGAUCCUCCUAACUCGAGGUCUAGAGGCAAGCUUCUGCCCCAGCUUUCUUCAAAGGUGAAGAUCCUCCUAACUCGAGGUCUAGAGGCAAGCUUCUGCCCCAGCUUUCUUCAAAGGUAGAUGCUGUACAUUGGCCUCCCUACAGUUAGCCUGGGGUUAAGGAAAACUCCCAAGCAAUGACUUUUCCUUUAUGCUGCCUCCUAGGUUAUGAACUGCAGGGCAGAGCGAUGUUUCGGGUCUCCAUAGUGCCUACUAGUGCCUUAAUAGAGUGGUUAUAAAAUGAAUGAUGUGGAAUUUAUUUUUUUGAGACAGGAUCUUGCUAUAUAGCUCAGGCAGGCCUUGAACACACUAAGUAGAUCAGGCUGGCCUUAAACUCUUAGAAAUCCUGUCUCCGCCUCCCAUGUGCUGGAAUUACAGGUAUGUACCACCAUGCUUUGCUACGUAUAUUUAGUUAAAUUGGGGUGUUUCCAGGCAUGGUACUGCACACCUGUGAUCCUAGCAUUCUGGAGGCUGAGGCAGGAGGAUUGCUGAGAGAUCCAGGCCAGCCUGGACUACACAGAAAGACCCUGUCUCAAAAUACAAAAAGAAUAAAUAAAUAAAGAUGUUGCACAAAUUAAAACUUCAGCCUCCUUCUUGUGUGUGUGUGUGUGUGUGUGUGUGUGUGUGUGUGUGUGGUGCUUGAUCAAAUCAAGGGCCUUGCACAUGUUAGGCAAGUUCUCUAUCACUGAGCUCUCCCAGGCCUCACUUUUUCUCAAAAACUUUUAAACUGAGCAUGGUGGUUCAUGCCUGUAAUCCCAG